rnacentral:rRNA from 1 species
UACGUAGGGUGCGAGCGUUGUCCGGAAUUAUUGGGCGUAAAGAGCUUGUAGGCGGUUUGUCGCGUCUGCUGUGAAAAUCCGGGGCUCAACCCCGGACUUGCAGUGGGUACGGGCAGACUAGAGUGUGGUAGGGGAGACUGGAAUUCCUGGUGUAGCGGUGAAAUGCGCAGAUAUCAGGAGGAACACCGAUGGCGAAGGCAGGUCUCUGAGCCACUACUGACGCUGAGAAGCGAAAGCAUGGGGAGCGAACAGG